GCCGUCGUAGCUCAGUUGGCAGAGCAGCUGUUUCGUAAACAGCAGGUCACAGGUUCGAGACCUGUCGCCGGCACCA
rnacentral:tRNA from 1 species